GAGGGGUUGCUCAAAUUGCAAAAACAAAUUUGACAACAAUAACAUCACUUUUUUACGUUUCUCUGUCAAGCAUGUUUAAAUCUUACAAACAUCGCUUGAUUGUGGCCGAUGUGAGACCUGCAUGUUUUAAUCAGACUGAGGAAACAUGACUUUAUUAUAAUCUCUGGUGAGGCUCCUCCCUCUGGAAUUCUCCUCCCCAAAACUUUUGGAGGGAAAAUUCAAAUGUAACAGGACACAGGACAGUUAGAUGAGCAGAGACACACAGUGUGGAGCAGGAGGAUUAUGAGAGCUGAUCUGGAGAGUCGUCUACAAAGAGUGACAUCCAGAGCUCUGCUGGAGCUGUGGGGAAGUUCAUGAAUGUUAUAGUUGAUGUUUCAGAAAAAAGGAAGAUGUUUGAGAACCAACAAAACACAGACCACAGAUGAACAAAGUGAUGUGGCAUUAGGAGACUUUAUACCAGAUGCCCUCCCUGUUACUGUGUUUAGAGGAACAAAAGCAGCAC